UCACCCUUUGUGACAUACCUUAACUGUUGCUUCGGCGGGUAGGCGUCCCCUAAAAAGGACGUCUCCCGGCCCUCUCCCGUCCGCGGGUGGGGCGCCCGCCGGAGGAUAACCAAACUCUGAUUUAACGACGUUUCUUCUGAGUGACACAAGCAAAUAAUCAAAACUUUUAACAACGGAUCUCUUGGUUCUGGCAUCGAUGAAGAACGCAGCGAAAUGCGAUAAGUAAUGUGAAUUGCAGAAUUCAGUGAAUCAUCGAAUCUUUGAACGCACAUUGCGCCCGCCAGCAUUCUGGCGGGCAUGCCUGUUCGAGCGUCAUUUCAACCCUCAAGCUCUGCUUGGUGUUGGGGCUCUACGGUUGACGUAGGCCCUUAAAGGUAGUGGCGGACCCUCUCGGAGCCUCCUUUGCGUAGUAACAUUUCGUCUCGCAUUGGGAUUCGGAGGGACUCUAGCCGUAAAACCCCCAAUUUUACUAAGGUUGACCUCGGAUCAGGUAGGAAUACCCGCUGAACUUAAGCAUAUCAUAGGGGGGGGAAGGGAAUCGAAGUU
rnacentral:rRNA from 1 species